GUGCAAUGGCAUAAGCCAGCUUGACUGCGAGCGUGACGGCGCGAGCAGGUGCGAAAGCAGGUCAUAGUGAUCCGGUGGUUCUGAAUGGAAGGGCCAUCGCUCAACGGAUAAAAGGUACUCCGGGGAUAACAGGCUGAUACCGCCCAAGAGUUCAUAUCGACGGCGGUGUUUGGCACCUCGAUGUCGGCUCAUCACAUCCUGGGGCUGAAGUAGGUCCCAAGGGUAUGGCUGUUCGCCAUUUAAAGUGGUACGCGAGCUGGGUUUAGAACGUCGUGAGACAGUUCGGUCCCUAUCUGCCGUGGGCGCUGGAGAACUGAGGGGGGCUGCUCCUAGUACGAGAGGACCGGAGUGGACGCAUCACUGGUGUUCGGGUUGUCAUGCCAAUGGCACUGCCCGGUAGCUAAAUGCGGAAGAGAUAAGUGCUGAAAGCAUCUAAGCACGA
rnacentral:rRNA from 1 species